UCCAGCGCACUCACCUAUCCACUAAACAGCAACUUCAAUGUUGAAAGAUUUUAUUUGUUUUUUUGUGGCAGGCUUAUGCAAUGUAUGAUCAUAUAAUGUAACUAAACCCCCAUUAUUUUUGCCUAGAUUAGGUGUUUUAAAAAAAAGAAAUAAAAUCUUUCAACAUUUAAGUUGCUGUUUAGUGGAUAGGUGAGUGCGCUGGA